rnacentral:rRNA from 1 species
GUGGUGAGUGGCGAACGGGUGAGUAACACGUGAGUAACCUGCCCUCCUCUCUGGGAUAACUGUGGGAAACUUCAGCUAAUACCGGAUAUUCACUUUUCCUCGCAUGGGGUUUGGUGGAAAGAUUUCUUGGUGGGGGAUGGGCUCGCGGCCUAUCAGCUUGUUGGUGGGGUGAUGGCCUACCAAGGCUUUGACGGGUAGCCGGCCUGAGAGGGCGACCGGCCACACUGGGACUGAGAUACGGCCCAGACUCCUACGGGAGGCAGCAGUGGGRAAUAUUGCACAAUGGGCGGAAGCCUGAUGCAGCAACGCCGCGUGCGGGAUGAAGGCCUUCGGGUUGUAAACCGCUUUCGAUCACGACGAAUUCAGACGGUAGUGAUUAAAGAAGCACCGGCUAACUACGUGCCAG